rnacentral:rRNA from 1 species
AUUGAACGCUGGCGGCAGGCUUAACACAUGCAAGUCGAGCGGAGAUGAGGUGCUUGCACCUUAUCUUAGCGGCGGACGGGUGAGUAAUGCUUAGGAAUCUGCCUAUUAGUGGGGGACAACAUUCCGAAAGGAAUGCUAAUGCCGCAUACGUCCUACGGGAGAAAGCAGGGGAUCUUCGGACCUUGCGCUAAUAGAUGAGCCUAAGUCGGAUUAGCUAGUUGGUGGGGUAAAGGCCUACCAAGGCGACGAUCUGUAGCGGGUCUGAGAGGAUGAUCCGCCACACUGGGACUGAGACACGGCCCAGACUCCUACGGGAGGCAGCAGUGGGGAAUAUUGGACAAUGGGGGGAACCCUGAUCCAGCCAUGCCGCGUGUGUGAAGAAGGCCUUAUGGUUGUAAAGCACUUUAAGCGAGGAGGAGGCUACUGAGAUUAAUGCUCUUGGAUAGUGGACGUUACUCGCAGAAUAAGCACCGGCUAACUCUGUGCCAGCAGCCGCGGUAAUAC